rnacentral:snRNA from 1 species
CUUUCUCCUCGGCCUUUGUGGCUAGAUCAAGUGUAGUAUCUGUUCUUAUCAGUUUAAAUCUGAUACGUCCUACCCGGGGACCAUAAUUUAAAUUGAUUUUUGGAAGGCAGGGAGAUGGAAUUUAGGGGCUUGCUCACGUCCACUCCACGCAUCGACUGGUAUUGCAGUACUUUGUCCUGGAAGAGUCCACUUGUU